CACACCUUUCCAAGGACCCCCAAACUCUGCUCCGUGCACGUCAAAUGCUCCUUUCUCUUGGGUCCAACCCCCUACCCCUCUCCCUAACACCCCUCUUCUCAAGAAGACUCAGCCUCUCCCCGAGGUGGGUGAGCAUCCUUGAGGUUUCCCACCCUUAACUGCUGUGUCCCCGGAUGGAGCCAGAGAAAUGUGGUGGGGGGGCCGGGGCCAGAGUUUCAACAUUGCCCCCCAGAAGGAGGAGCCAGAGAUGGGGUCUGUCCAGGAAAACAGGAUGCCGGAGCCCAGGAGUCGUCAGCCUAGCAGUUGCCUGGCCUCCAGAUGCCUCCCAGGGGAGCAGAUCCUAGCAUGGGCCCCAGGGGUGAGGAAGGGCCUGGAACCAGAAUUGUCUGGAACCCUGAUCUGUACCAACUUUAGGGUCACCUUCCAGCCCUGUGGAUGGCAGUGGAAUCAGGACACUCCCUUGAACAGUGAAUACGAUUUUGCCCUGGUCAACAUUGGACGAUUAGAGGCUGUGAGCGGCUUGUCCCGAGUCCAGCUCCUCCGUCCAGGGUCCCUGCAUAAAUUUAUCCCUGAGGAGAUUCUGAUUCAUGGCCGAGACUUCCGGCUGCUCAGAGUUGGUUUUGAGGCUGGAGGCCUAGAGCCUCAGGCUUUUCAGGUGACCAUGGCCAUUGUCCAAGCCAGAGCUCAGAGCAAUCAAGCCCAGCAGUAUUCGGGGAUAACCCUGAGCAAGGCUGGCCAGGGUUCUGGCUCCAGAAAACCACCAAUUCCUCUCAUGGAGACAGCGGAAGACUGGGAGACUGAGCGGAAGAAGCAGGCAGCCAGAGGCUGGAGGGUCAGCACGGUCAACGAGAGGUUCGACGUAGCCACUAGGCUCCGGUGUUUCUCCUCUUCCUUGAUUGUGUCUGGCAGCUCCUCCAGCAGUUUCCAGCUGAUUUUGAAUUCUCUGAGUUUUUCCUUCUUGCUCUUCAUGACAGUGUCAGGGUUCCUGACACCCUUACCUUCCUGAGAAAUACCCCCUGGGAGCGCGGAAAGCAGAGCGGACAGGUCAGUGACUUCUAUUUUUGACUCGUGUUUUUUUUUCCAUUGAGAUGUACUCUCUGAAGUUUGGUCUUGAUUUGUUUUAUGAGAAGUGAGGUCUGUGAGUGGGGAGGGGGAGAUUUAUUCUCAUUUUCAGGACGAGACUUUUGCCCUACAUCUUUCCUAGAAUAAGAGGUGAGAAUCUCAUGAUUUGUCUCUAGAUGUGGGAGGACUGUGUGUAACCAUCCUUUUUCUUGCUUCCUCUGUCCAGUUAAACUCCUAUACACAAGUCUACACCCCAGGAUACUCCCAGCCUCCAGCUGGGAACUCUUUUAACCUGCAGCUGUCUGUCUGGGACUGGGAUUUACGUUAUAGCAAUGCACAGAUACUACAAUUCCAGAAUCCUGGCUAUGACCCAGAACACUGUCCAGAUUCCUGGCUCCCUAGACCACAGCCAAGCUUCAUGGUUCCUGGACCCCCCAGUUCUGUGUGGCUCUUCUCUAGAGGAGCAUUGACCCCCCUGAAUCAGCUCUGUCCUUGGCGGCAGAGUCCUUGCCAGCAGAGUCCCUCCCUGCUGGCAGUCUCUUCUCGUUGGCUCCCUCGACCUGCUAUCUCCUCUGAAAGCCUGGCUGACCAGGAAUGGGGUCUCCCCUCACAUUGGGGAGCUUGCCCUUUACCUCCAGGGCUGCUGCUGCCUGGGUAUCUGGGACCCCAGAUCAGGCUCUGGAGACGCUGCUACCUGAGGGGAAGGCCUGAGGUCCAGGUAAGAAGGGAAAAUAGACUGGGAGUGGGACAAGGGACUUGACUCUGCUGAACCAGAUGAACAGGAGCUGGAAAGGCAAGGAGCUGAAGCCUCUGGGAGUCUGGGAAGUGAAGUUCUACUCCUCCUGGCAUCAAACAAGGUUUGGGAGUGUAGGAGGUGCGGGAAAGUGCUUGUGGCUUAGAUUAAGUGGAAUUUAGGGCAUAGCUGAAAGGGGAAACAGAAUUAAAGACACCAGAAGUAGCAGAGAAGCAGGAGGCCAGAGCUACAACAGUAUUCCUCUCUGUUCCUCUUUGCCUCCUCCCCAGAUGGGCCUCUCAGCUCCCACAAUCUCUGGCCUCCAGGAUGAGCUAUCCCAUCUUCAGGAGUUAUUACGGAAAUGGACACCAAGAAUAUCUCCUGAGGAUCACUCCAAGAAAAGAGAUCCACAUACCAUUCUCAAUCCCACUGAAAUUGCUGGCAUUCUCAAAGGCAGGGCAGAGGGGGAUCUGGGGUAGAGGAGGGUUCCGUCUAAUCUUUUUUUUUUUUUUUUUUUUUUUGUAUCUGGACUUGCAGCCUCAGCUUUCACACUUCAGCCCUUAAGUUCACUAAGAAGGUCUGAGUUUCUGCUGCAGAUGGUGGUGUUAACUGCUCCAACUCUUGUCUUGCUUAGUUCCUACAAAUAUUUUUGCUUCUUGUCAUUUGAAGGAUUAAGAAACAAAAACAAUCCAGAAAUUGAUCGGUUUUCUUAGGCCAAUCCCAUCCCUUCUGGAUAACCAGAUGUUAAAUCAUGAGAUCAGAGAUGCUGUUCAUCAGUCCCAACAAGAUGGCCUAGAAAUCGCAUUCUCACCUCGCCUUGCUGCUGCUUUAAUUCCAAGUUCUAUUUCUUCCCUUAUAGUUUUCUAUAGGAAUGAGGCGGAUACAGGAAACACCCUGUCUCCUCUGUAUUUUUGUAGUGGAAUUUCUAUUUAAGGGGCUCAUUAAAGCAUAGUAUUUAUACAC
rnacentral:sRNA from 1 species